GACGUAGGGCGCGAGCGUUGUCCGGAUUUAUUGGGCGUAAAGAGCUCGUAGGCGGCUUGUCGCGUCGAAUGUGAAAUCUCGGGGCUCAACUCCGAGCUUGCAUUCGAUACGGGCAGGCUAGAGUUCGGUAGGGGAGACUGGAAUUCCUGGUGUAGCGGUGAAAUGCGCAGAUAUCAGGAGGAACACCGAUGGCGAAGGCAGGUCUCUGGGCCAUAACUGACGCUGAGAAGUGAAAGCAUGGGGAGCGAACAGG
rnacentral:rRNA from 1 species